rnacentral:rRNA from 1 species
GACGAACGCUGACGGUGUGCUUUAGACAUGCAAGUCGAACGAGAAAGCCCUUCGGGGUGAGUAAAGUGACGAACGGGUGAGUAACACGUGGGCAAUCUGCCCCUCGCAGGGGGACAACCGGGGGAAACCCCGGCUAAUACCCCGUACGCUUUCGGAGUCGCAUGGCUCCGUGAGGAAAGGUAGCUUCGGCCAUCCGGCGAGGGAUGAGCCCGCGGUACAUUAGCUAGUUGGUGGGGUAACGGCCCACCAAGGCGACGAUGUAUAGCUGGUCUGAGAGGAUGAUCAGCCACACUGGGACUGAGACACGGCCCAGACUCCUACGGGAGGCAGCAGUCGGGAAUCUUGCGCAAUGGGCGAAAGCCUGACGCAGCAACACCGUGUGAGCGACGAAGGCCUUCGGGUCGUAAAGCUCUGUUGUUGGGGACGAAGGGCGAAGGGUUAAUAGCCCCUAGCUUGACGGUACCCUUCGAGGAAGCCCCGGCUAACUACGUGCCAGCAGCCGCGGUAAUACGUAGGGGGCGAGCGUUGUCCGGAAUUAUUGGGCGUAAAGAGCGUGUAGGCGGUU